rnacentral:lncRNA from 1 species
UACUUUUUAGGGUUUAGGGUUUAGUGUUGAUAGUUUAGGGUUUAGAGUUGAAGUUUAGGGUUCAUAGUUGAUGUUUUAGGGUUUAGAGUUGAAGGUUUAGGGUUAGAGUUUAGAGUUGAUGUUUCGGGGUUUAGGGUUUAGAGUUGAUGUUUAAGGGUUUAGGGUUCGUAUUUCAAAAAAAAAAGGUUUAGGAUUAAUGGUUUAGGGUUUAUAGGGUUUGUAUUUCAAAAAAAAAUAGGGUUUAAGAUUGAUGGUUUAGGGUUUAGAGUUGAGUUUUAGGGUUUAGGAUUUGAAUUUCGAAAUAGUAUAAUUCGAAAAAAAUUAAAAAAAAAUAUUUUUUAUUUUUUUAGAUUUUUAUUUAUUUAAAUAUUUAUUUAUUAUAUAUAUAAAAAACAAUGGCAUAAGAG